rnacentral:rRNA from 1 species
GAUGAACGCUGGCGGCGUGCCUAAUACAUGCAAGUCGAGCGAACGGACGAGAAGCUUGCUUCUCUGAUGUUAGCGGCGGACGGGUGAGUAACACGUGGAUAACCUACCUAUAAGACUGGGAUAACUUCGGGAAACCGGAGCUAAUACCGGAUAAUAUUUUGAACCGCAUGGUUCAAAAGUGAAAGACGGUCUUGCUGUCACUUAUAGAUGGAUCCGCGCUGCAUUAGCUAGUUGGUAAGGUAACGGCUUACCAAGGCAACGAUGCAUAGCCGACCUGAGAGGGUGAUCGGCCACACUGGAACUGAGACACGGUCCAGACUCCUACGGGAGGCAGCAGUAGGGAAUCUUCCGCAAUGGGCGAAAGCCUGACGGAGCAACGCCGCGUGAGUGAUGAAGGUCUUCGGAUCGUAAAACUCUGUUAUUAGGGAAGAACAUAUGUGUAAGUAACUGUGCACAUCUUGACGGUACCUAAUCAGAAAGCCACGGCUAACUACGUGCCAGCAGCCGCGGUAAUACGUAGGUGGCAAGCGUUAUCCGGAAUUAUUGGGCGUAAAGCGCGCGUAGGCGGUUUUUUAAGUCUGAUGUGAAAGCCCACGGCUCAACCGUGGAGGGUCAUUGGAAACUGGAAAACUUGAGUGCAGAAGAGGAAAGUGGAAUUCCAUGUGUAGCGGUGAAAUGCGCAGAGAUAUGGAGGAACACCAGUGGCGAAGGCGACUUUCUGGUCUGUAACUGACGCUGAUGUGCGAAAGCGUGGGGAUCAAACAGGAUUAGAUACCCUGGUAGUCCACGCCGUAAACGAUGAGUGCUAAGUGUUAGGGGGUUUCCGCCCCUUAGUGCUGCAGCUAACGCAUUAAGCACUCCGCCUGGGGAGUACGACCGCAAGGUUGAAACUCAAAGGAAUUGACGGGGACCCGCACAAGCGGUGGAGCAUGUGGUUUAAUUCGAAGCAACGCGAAGAACCUUACCAAAUCUUGACAUCCUUUGACAACUCUAGAGAUAGAGCCUUCCCCUUCGGGGGACAAAGUGACAGGUGGUGCAUGGUUGUCGUCAGCUCGUGUCGUGAGAUGUUGGGUUAAGUCCCGCAACGAGCGCAACCCUUAAGCUUAGUUGCCAUCAUUAAGUUGGGCACUCUAAGUUGACUGCCGGUGACAAACCGGAGGAAGGUGGGGAUGACGUCAAAUCAUCAUGCCCCUUAUGAUUUGGGCUACACACGUGCUACAAUGGACAAUACAAAGGGCAGCGAAACCGCGAGGUCAAGCAAAUCCCAUAAAGUUGUUCUCAGUUCGGAUUGUAGUCUGCAACUCGACUACACGAAGCUGGAAUCGCUAGUAAUCGUAGAUCAGCAUGCUACGGUGAAUACGUUCCCGGGUCU